rnacentral:rRNA from 1 species
UGGGGAAUUUUGGACAAUGGGCGAAAGCCUGAUCCAGCAAUGCCGCGUGUGUGAAGAAGGCCUUCGGGUUGUAAAGCACUUUUGUCCGGAAAGAAAUGGCUCUGGUUAAUACCUGGGGUCGAUGACGGUACCGGAAGAAUAAGGACCGGCUAACUACGUGCCAGCAGCCGCGGUAAUACGUAGGGUCCAAGCGUUAAUCGGAAUUACUGGGCGUAAAGCGUGCGCAGGCGGUUGUGCAAGACCGAUGUGAAAUCCCCGAGCUUAACUUGGGAAUUGCAUUGGUGACUGCACGGCUAGAGUGUGUCAGAGGGGGGUAGAAUUCCACGUGUAGCAGUGAAAAUGCGUAGAGAUGUGGAGGAAUACCGAUGGCGAAGGCAGCCCCCUGGGAUAACACUGACGCUCAUGCACGAAAAGCGUGGGGGGCAAAACAGGAUUAGAUACCCUGGUAGUCCACGCCCUAAAACGAUGUCAACUAGUUGUUGGGGGAUUCAUUUUCCUUAGUAAACGUAGCUAACGCGUGAAGUUGACCGCCUGGGGAGUACGGUCG